rnacentral:rRNA from 1 species
GACGAACGCUGGCGGCGUGCCUAAUACAUGCAAGUAGAACGCUGAAGGGAGAGCUUGCUCUUCUGGAUGAGUUGCGAACGGGUGAGUAACGCGUAGGUAACCUGCCUGGUAGCGGGGGAUAACUAUUGGAGACGAUAGCUAAUACCGCAUAAUAGUAGAUGUUGCAUGACAUUUGCUUGAAAGGUGCAAUUGCAUCACUACCAGAUGGACCUGCGUUGUAUUAGCUAGUUGGUGGGGUAACGGCUCACCAAGGCGACGAUACAUAGCCGGUCUGAGAGGAUGAACGGCCACAUUGGGACUGAGAUGCGGCCCAG